GUUAAGCGACUAAGCGUACACGGUGGAUGCCCUGGCAGUCAGAGGCGAUGAAGGACGUGCUAAUCUGCGAUAAGCGUCGGUGAGGUGAUAUGAACCGUUAUAACCGGCGAUUUCCGAAUGGGGAAACCCAGUGUGUUUCGACACACUAUCAUUAACUGAAUCCAUAGGUUAAUGAGGCGAACCGGGGGAACUGAAACAUCUAAGUACCCCGAGGAAAAGAAAUCAACCGAGAUUCCCCCAGUAGCGGCGAGCGAACGGGGAGGAGCCCAGAGCCUGAAUCAGUGUGUGUGUUAGUGGAAGCGUCUGGAAAGGCGUGCGAUACAGGGUGACAGCCCCGUACACAAAAAUGCACAUAUUGUGAGCUCGAUGAGUAGGGCGGGACACGUGGUAUCCUGUCUGAAUAUGGGGGGACCAUCCUCCAAGGCUAAAUACUCCUGACUGACCGAUAGUGAACCAGUACCGUGAGGGAAAGGCGAAAAGAACCCCGGCGAGGGGAGUGAAAAAGAACCUGAAACCGUGUACGUACAAGCAGUGGGAGCCUCUUAAUGGGGUGACUGCGUACCUUUUGUAUAAUGGGUCAGCGACUUAUAUUCUGUAGCAAGGUUAACCGAAUAGGGGAGCCGAAGGGAAACCGAGUCUUAACUGGGCGUUAAGUUGCAGGGUAUAGACCCGAAACCCGGUGAUCUAGCCAUGGGCAGGUUGAAGGUUGGGUAACACUAACUGGAGGACCGAACCGACUAAUGUUGAAAAAUUAGCGGAUGACUUGUGGCUGGGGGUGAAAGGCCAAUCAAACCGGGAGAUAGCUGGUUCUCCCCGAAAGCUAUUUAGGUAGCGCCUCGUGAAUUCAUCUCCGGGGGUAGAGCACUGUUUCGGCAAGGGGGUCA
rnacentral:rRNA from 1 species